UACAGAGGGUGCGAGCGUUGUUCGGAAUUAUUGGGCGUAAAGGGCGCGUAGGCGGUGCGGUAAGUCACCUGUGAAAUCUCCUGGCUCAACUGGGAGCUUGCAGGCGAAACUGCCGUGCUGGAGUGUGGGAGAGGUGCGUGGAAUUCCUGGUGUAGCGGUGAAAUGCGCAGAUAUCGGGAGGAACACCAGUGGCGAAGGCGACUUCCUGGCCUGUUCUUGACGCUGAGGCGCGAAAGCUAGGGUAGCAAACGGG
rnacentral:rRNA from 1 species